GAUAGCCAUAGAUAAUUAAAGGAUUGAGAGUCGGAUCGCUAAUAACUCGUACUUCUCCAAUCGUAGGAUCGUAUAAGCCACCAAAAAACAUCGCUUUAGCAACCAAUAAAAAUGCGCCUAAACCUAAUAAACCGAGGUGAAUCCCGAUAAUAUUGGUCAUUUUAUAUGUGUCUUCCCA
rnacentral:antisense_RNA from 1 species